AGAAGAACAGAUUCCGUCCGUGUAGGAAGCUGUGAAGGCCCUUUUCAUGUUCAAAAAGUUGAAUUAGCCAAUCACAGCCCGUCUUUCGUCCGAAUUCUUUAGUUUCAUGGCGUCAUUCGUGGAGAACACAUCGGAGUGUCAUCGUCUCGUUAAAAUCAGAUGGAAAGAAGAUAUACUGCGCAUCAUUUUCGCGCAUGCAGUAUUUUCGCGCCAGUCUUACGCGCCUGUUUUAUGCAUAUCAAUAUGGCGAAUCUUUCGAAUCUUUUAAUCUGUCAUCCGUAUAUUUGUUGCAGCGGAUUUUGUUAUCCCGUUAAUUUCAGCUUUCUGAGCAUGAGGAGAGUUACACCACGAAUUCACAUACCUAACCUUUUAACUUUGUGGCAGCUUUUUUAUCUUUUCUAUAUAUGGCGAGGAAUUUCUCGAGGAAUUUUCUUCGUCGAAUUUCC